GACGAACGCUGGCGGCGUGCUUAACACAUGCAAGUCGAACGGAAAGGCCCUGCUUUUGUGGGGUGCUCGAGUGGCGAACGGGUGAGUAACACGUGAGUAACCUGCCCUUGACUUUGGGAUAACUUCAGGAAACUGGGGCUAAUACCGGAUAGGAGCUCCUGCUGCAUGGUGGGGGUUGGAAAGUUUCGGCGGUCGGGGAUGGACUCGCGGCUUAUCAGCUUGUUGGUGGGGUAGUGGCUUACCAAGGCUUUGACGGGUAGCCGGCCUGAGAGGGUGACCGGCCACAUUGGGACUGAGAUACGGCCCAGACUCCUACGUGAGGCAGCAGUGGGGAAUAUUGCACAAUGGGCGGAAGCCUGAUGCAGCAGCGCCGCGGGCGUGAUGACGGCCUUCGGGUUGUAAACCGCUUUCGCCUGUGACGAAGCGUGUGUGACGGUAAUGAGUAAAGAAGCACCGGCUAACUACGUG
rnacentral:rRNA from 1 species